rnacentral:sRNA from 1 species
UUCGAGACCUAUGGCUCGAGCCGAGCAAAGCGAGACAGCGUUGCGCAGCAACGACCCGAAGGGCGAGGCCGGAGGCCGAGUA